UACUUAGACAAGAUGGCGGCCGUUGAGUGCAUAAAGUGUACAUCGUUGCACACUCAACCUUUUUGCCUUCAUGAGGGCACCAUCCGGGUCCUUUAGGUACACUUCUUUUCGCCGCGAUCAAUAUCGGAACACCCUAAAUACUCAGACUAAGUACAUAAACUGGGUAGAGUCUGGGUAGAGUUGAGCUAUGUCUACACACAGCUCAACUGAACCACAUACACUCUACCCAGACAUGUCGAUGCUCGAGUACGUCUGGGAUGCCACAAUGACGGCUAGAGGAAGAAGCUACUGCUAAUGGUGUGAUCCUCUUCCCUCUCCAAACUACUUAUCUUGGACAUUGAUAGAGAACAUCAAGAAUCAAGUGAAAAGCCUGGAGAAGACAACUGUGGUGCUACAGGGAUCGGGACAAAGUUUUCACUGGACAAAAUGUUCAUUGAUGCAAAUCAUUUGCACCAUAUAAUAACAAAAAUAGCUGAAAAUGACCUGAGGGAUGACAGUAUUCUUAACUUUCGCACAUACUGGAGCUAAGUUGAAGAAAACAGAAAUUAAAGUCUGUAUUCUGGCAGUUAAUUUGGAUACUUCCAGGUGUUCUUUCUCAGAUACUAAUCAAAAUACUUUUCAAAAGCACCCCUUGUUUCUCAUCCACGCUGCUUAAGCACACUCAGAGUUCCUUUUGAUCACAAGCGGAGUUUAUAUCAGACUUAGUUUGUAAUUCUAACAAGGACAGCUGUGGCCAGCUACAUGUCAAAGUGUACUUGGAGAAGAAACUGAACCCAGAUCGCUCCUGAUGGCUGUUGAGCCUAAAAAGAUCCUCAAGCUUCAAAUAAAUCAGCUUUUUGGGCCUUCAGAGAUCAUCUUGUCUUGGGCAUGAGGGUGAGAGACUAGUAACAACAGUCACGCUUUAUUUAAACCCAUGUUUGAUAGAGUUAGGGUUAAAAACUGGCUAAAGGCUAAAGUAAACUGGCAGCUCGGAUUUCUCACAAAACAGGAGCGGUGAACAACACUACAUUUUGUUGGCUGACACGUGAACGCACCGUCCACAUACAGAGCAGCGUGGCCAGGACCUGACAUAACUUCAUGCUAAUAUUCUGAGACAUAAACGCUACAAUACUGCAACAAAUGAAAACUAAAGGGUUUUGUUUUGUUGUGCUUGUUGUUGAUUUUCAGUCACCUGCUCAUGCAAAGUGUAGAUUUAACUUCAGGUCUGUUGGGGUACAGUAUGAAGGCCUCAUUUUAUCAACACCAGCCCUCCUCUCCCUCCCAAAGCUUGGUAAUAAAGUGAGGAAAC